UCUAUUGUAUCUGAUAUCUAUUAUAGCACUCUAUUAACACAGUCACAAUUUUUCCAAAACAAAACCAUCUACUUUAUAUACUUCCUACCUCCUCUGCAUCACACUGACAAUCUCAAUCACAGCCAUCAAGUUAAAUAGAAAUUAUAAUUGAGAUGCUAUUAUUAGUUUGUUUAGAUGACACUUUCAUCGAAGUGGCAAUAUUAAGCUACUUACAAUUGUUUUCCUAUUUAUACUGCAGGAUAAUUUUUACUGUAUCAAUUCAGAGUAAGUAGCUUGGUCAAGAGGACCCAGUGGGUACAGCUGAUGCCUCAGAGUUCUUGAGCUGCUUGGUGGGCGCAUGAAAAAAGACUUUUGAAAGCCGCUUCUGUUCCACCCUUGCCUGCAAAAUCACGUGAAUCAUUGCCAAGGGUUGGCUUCAACUGGCUGGCAAUUCCACUCAAACUUUGCUCAAAGACUGUUCCAGACCCCAGACUGCUGUAACACUCCUUACUGGUUCACUUCCUUCACCCGGAAAACCUAGGGGUGAGUCCUGAGAUGUCCCUAAUCUCUCACUCAAGGACAGAAGUAGAGACAGGAGGAGAGAUCUGCAGUAUGGACGUCAGACAUGUGGACUGAGCCUGCUUGCAAAUAUCCGCGGCCCUACCUGACAAUUUCUCCAUAUUCAGUUCUGAGCUUUCCUACAUGUCCUCGUCACAGUGUUACUUCCUGUCUGCCCCACUUUGCUCCUUGUCCAUCCACAUUGUGGAAAUAUAGGAGUUCCUCUCUCCAAUACUGAUGUUUCCUGUGGCUCUGCAGCUUGUGAUGGUCUGCUCAAACACCAUGAAGUGACUUAUUACACUAUGAACAUGGUAACUGAAGUACUGUUCUACUUCCAUACAUACUGUACGUAUAUGUGGUGUACGCCUUAGUGAGUUUGGUGAAGAUCUGGUUUAGGGUUAUAGUAUUUUUGGAGUUGUAUUGUACAUUAUUGCUGUACAAAA